ACAGGUCGGUUUAUAAUCUUUUUCUCAAUAAACAGUGAAAAUAAGUGGAAAACAAAUAAAAACAGAAAAACAGUUGUCCAACUCAUUAUUGAUUUGUUAUAGUUACCUUCUGGACUUGAAGCAACCAAUAUACACCCUCUAGCCUGAUGAUGAGGAUCAUAUAACCAAAUCCUCAGAAAGUUAUAAUUGACCAACUCUUCAAACAAAUAAGUUUAAUAGCGAGAAAGAAUACAAUGUUCAAAUCGCUGACUCAGUACAAUCUGAAAAAUAUCACCAGCCAGGAAAUGCUCUUUGGCAUGCAAAACUGCCCCUUGCAUUCUUCACUUGUCAUGCUUGACAUCUCUAAUUUAGUGCCAAAGAGACAAGUUGACAACUGUAUUGAACAUAGCUGUAUUAUGCACUCUGGAUACUAAAUUUUCCAAUUGGUUCAUUCCAUAAAAUGCCUCCUCAACAGUGGGAUAUUGAUCUAAUCACACACCCAGUGAAUA
rnacentral:misc_RNA from 1 species